rnacentral:rRNA from 1 species
UCGAGGUCAGUGGGAUGGGUGACGUGGUAAUACGUGGGGUGCAGUUGUUUUCCGUAGUUAUUGGGAGUAAAGUCAGCCGAGGGUGUUUGUUAAGUAUGAGAGGAAGGCCAUGGGAUGAACCGAGGAAGCGCAUCGGAAACUGGGGAACUAUAGUGCAGAAGAGGACAGUGGAACUCCAUGUGUAGCGGUGAAAUGCGUAGAUAUAUGGAAGAACACCAGUGGCGAAGGCGGCUGUGUGGUCUGUAACUGACGCUGAGGCUCGAAAGCAUGGGUAGCGAACAGGAUUAGAUACCCUUGUAGC